rnacentral:rRNA from 1 species
GACAGAGGGUGCAAACGUUGUUCGGAAUUACUGGGCGUAAAGCGCGUGUAGGCUGUCUCGCAAGUCGGGUGUGAAAGCCCUGGGCUCAACCUAGGAAGUGCACUCGAAACUGCGAGACUUGAGUCCUGGAGAGGAAGGCGGAAUUCUCGGUGUAGAGGUGAAAUUCGUAGAUAUCGAGAGGAACACCGGUGGCGAAGGCGGCGACCUGGGUAGAUACUGACGCUGAGGUGCGAAAGCGUGGGGAGCAAACAGG